rnacentral:lncRNA from 1 species
GGGGGAUUUAAUCCAAGGGGGGUGGUGGUGGGGGUGUGGGUAACUUCAAGAAAAUUGGUUUAUUCCUCACAGAGACUUAAAUUAGUCGAGUGGAGUGAAUGUAUACAGCUUGAUUUGGACAAAACAGGCAAAUAAAAACACAUUUUUGAUUAUUAUUAUUUUCCAUUGACCGGAGUCAUGCGUGGACAUUAAAAGCCCGUUCCGAUGUUCGUCCGACACCAGAUGCUCACCAGACCCUCUCUGCGCUCCUAACUUCAGGCUGCUGGGCUCUUUACAGCGGGAGGGGACUGGGGGGUGGGGGUGGAGGAGGAUGGGAGAAGAGGAACACGUAAUCACCCAAACAUCCGUUGUUACCCACUUCGCCCCCUCUGGAUCUGUGUGGCAAGCUGCGCCUCACUGCGGAUACCGAGCAGAGGGAGGCCGGCUGGCGAGCAAGCUCCCGCUAAACCAGGCUCACGUGAUUCUCCCUCAGCAAAAUUAAUUAUCACCCUUGCCCCCAAGAAAACAGUUAAAACAGAGGUACAUCUUUUUCUCCACAAAGAAAAGGUAAAAUUGUCUGUUUCACUUUUUAUGAUACACAGCAGACAUAUUAGGUCAUUUAGUAUUUUCUCCUAUGCUGUGGCUGUAAAUUUGUGUUUAUAA